UAUAAGUUGUAACUGCAUGAACAUGCUCAUUACGGAAAGUAAAGUAUAAACCUCAGUACCCAUUUACAAGGCACAAUUAGAGGAACAGAAGAUGGAAAUAUGGAAAGAAAGCCGUAGGAAGGCUAAGGCAAAGUAAACAAAGCCCUUGCCGAAAAUUAUGCACUCAGUAGUUUGAAGACCAAUUUGCAGCACUCCCAACUCUUGGCAUACCAGAACUUUCCUUUCUAGCCUCUGCAUCCACCUUG
rnacentral:misc_RNA from 1 species